GUCUACGGCCAUACCACCCUGAAUGCACCGGAUCUCGUCUGAUCUCGGAAGCUAAGCAGGGUCCGGCUGGUUAGUACUUGGAUGGGAGAACACUGAGAGACGCAGAUG
rnacentral:rRNA from 1 species